GGGCCACCGUUUGUUGAGUGCAAAUAUGGAUGACUGUUUUUGCCGGCUUCACUGUCGGCUUAUAAGGGUUAUCAAAUAUCACUUUGAUUAAAUUAGAGUGCUCAAAGCAAGUGUGUUACUUGGAUAUAAAUGCAUGGAAUGAUGGAAUAUGUUGUUGUUCUAUUUGUCGGUUUUUGAACGAUGAAAUGAUUGAAAGGAACCGUUGGGGGCAUUCGUAUUGUUGUGAGAGAGGUGAAAUUCUUAGACCACAGCAAGACGAACUACUGCGAAAGCAUUUGCCAAGAAUGUUUUCAUUGAUCAAGAACGAAAGUUAGAGGUUCGAAGGCGAUCAGAUACCGCCCUAGUUCUAACCAUAAACUAUGCCAACUAGCAAUCUGCUUAUAUAUGUUCUAUGAUUAAGUAGGCGGCCACGGGAAACCAAAGUAGGGUUAUGGGGGAAGUAUGGUUGCAAAGCUGAAACUUAAAGGAAUUGACGGAAGGGCACCACCAGGAGUGGAGCCUGCGGCUUAAUUUGACUCAACACGGGAAAACUUACCUGGUCCUGACACUAGAAGGAUUGACAGAUUGAUAGCUCUUUCUUGAUUUGGUGGAUGGUGGUGCAUGGCCGUUCUUAGUUGGUGGAGUGAUUUGUCUGGUUAAUUCCGAUAACGAACGAGACUCUAGCCUAUUAAAUAACACACAGAAUCUUGUCUUCUGUGGUGUUUCUUAAUGGGAUCAAGUG
rnacentral:rRNA from 1 species